UACGUAGGGUGCAAGCGUUGUCCGGAAUUAUUGGGCGUAAAGAGCUCGUAGGCGGUGUGUCGCGUCGGCCGUGAAAACCUGCAGCUUAACUGUGGGCUUGCGGUCGAUACGGGCAUCACUGGAGUUCGGCAGGGGAGACUGGAAUUCCUGGUGUAGCGGUGAAAUGCGUAGAGAUCAGGCGGAACACCCGUGGCGAAGGCGGCCAGCUGGGCCGUCCCUGACGCUGAGGCGCGAAGGCGUGGGGAGCGAACGGG
rnacentral:rRNA from 1 species